GGCUACGUAGCUCAGUUGGUUAGAAGCACAUCACUCAUAAUGAUGGGGUCACAGGUUCGAAUCCCGUCGUAGCCACCA
rnacentral:tRNA from 1 species